GCGUCGGCGUUGACGCCGGAGGGGACGUUGUCCUCGUCGAAGACGACGUUGUGGGGGAACGCCUUGUUGUUGACGAACUCGACGGUCUCGCCCUUGGCGACGGUGAUCUUGUUGGGCUGUUCGUGAGUGGGAAGAGGCGGGGGGGAAAGAGUCAGGAAUCGUCGCUCGUCAACAGCGCCGAGGCUGUUGUUGGUUUUCCGAUCGGUUCGUUUGCGGUCGUCGCCCAAAAAUGACGUGGCAGGGGUUCCCGAACUGAAACCCGGACUCGGGAAACGGGCGGGAGGCGGGUACUCACGAAGAAGCCGAGCUCGCCGUUGUCACCGCCGAGCUUGAUGGUGGCGGCGAAGGCGGGGGAGGCGAGGAGGACGGUGGAGACACCGACGACGGCAGCCUGAGAAGGGAGGAGGGGAGCGGGGGAAGGAACAACGUUAGCGAUAAAACUCUGCAGCAGCGGGAGGAAAUCUCGCGUCUAAACUCGAUCGGGGCGCGUCCGUGGGCGCCGCGGGGUGCGACACGCGAACCGUGCGACGGACGACGCGACCCGGAACGCAUUCGGGGGCGGAUCGAACCGUUCGAAUCGAUCGCGCACCCCGGCUUCCGUUCGGAUCGCGCGUCUCGAGGCGCGCGAUUACGCCUCCGCGACUACCUCGUCAGCAACUGCGGAUAGGUUUUUCUACUGCAGCGGAUAUUUCCCGCAUUUCGCACCUUCUUGAGGCCGUCGAGGGACGCGACGGGGGCGACGGCCUUCUUGGCGGCAACCUUAACGGGGGCCUUGGCGGCGACGGCGGAGCCGAGGAAGGUGGAGGUCAUGGCGGCCAUUUUGUAUACGUGUGUUGUUGAUGCGAUAUCAAGAAUGAUCGCCCAGACACGGCGAGCUCUUUCCAAAACAUGAGGAUUCUGAGCUGGAUC
rnacentral:lncRNA from 1 species